CUGGUUUACUGGUUGUAUUUGGGAUGUUCUAAAAAAAUAAGUCCUGCACUUAGGAUCAAGUGUAGGCAUCUGUCAGUCUGGUUUUAGGACCGGGCGCGCCGUCAACAUAUCCCUUUCUACAACAGAUGCUGGAUAAUGAAGAUUAUUCAGUCGGGUUUUGGGCUAGUAGCUCAGUUGGUUAGAGCACACGCUUGAUAAGCGUGGGGUCGGAGGUUCAAGUCCUCCCUGGCCCACCAUGUUUUAGUUAGCCGUUUCCUAAGGGGGCGUAGCUCAGCUGGGAGAGCACCUGCUUUGCAAGCAGGGGGUCGUCGGUUCGAACCCGUCCGUCUCCACCAGGGAAGGUUAGAUUGAGACUUGGUGUUGAGAGUAUCUGUUGUGGGGGAGUUAGUGAUCGGACUUCUCUGGGCAUGUUCUGCGAUAGCGGGGGUGCUGAGGGAACUCUGGUGUUGAUCUUUGUCAGUGUGAAUCGGUUGGUGCGUUUCUGGGCGUGCUGAGAGCUGUGGGUUGGUCUGACCCAUAUGAUCUGGGGUUUAUCUCUGGGUUAUAUGUUAAGCAGUUUUUAGCGUGAGCGUUCAGAAGCGUUUUAAAGUGUGACGUGCUCGGAUGCGUUCAUGCUUAGAGCUGUUUGUAUCGUAAGGUAUGGAUGGUUUCUGUGCAUGGGGCGAGUGAGCGC
rnacentral:tRNA from 1 species